AGGAUCAAAAUCAAGCCACUGACAUGCUUGCAUGUCAUGGGGCGAAGAUUUUAGAUCCUCGCCCAAAACGAGCAAAGUAGCCAUUUUGCCUGCAAAAUGAGCGGAUUUGCGAGUUUUGGAGCAUCGCGGGAGUGCGCAGCACGAAGCGAUGCGU
rnacentral:sRNA from 1 species